rnacentral:rRNA from 1 species
UAGUCCACGCCCUAAACGAUGGGUGUUUAUUUUUGAUUAUUCAGAAAUGUAGUUAACACGUUUAACACCCCGCCUGGGAACUACGAUUGCAAAAUUAAAACUCAAAGGAAUUGACGGGGACUUACACAAGCAGUGGAGCAUGUGGUUUAAUUCGAUGAUAAGCGAAGAACCUUACCAGGACUUGACAUGGUAGCUUAAGCCGGUGCGAAAGCAUUUGGUGGAUUUAAGCUUGCUUAAAACAGUUAUCACAGGUGCUGCAUGGCUGUCGUCAGCUCGUGCCGUGAGGUGUCCGGUUAAGUCCGGUAACGAGCGCAACCCCUAUCUUUAGUUGCCAGCAUUUCGGAUGGGCACUCUAAAGGGACUGCCGGUGACAAACCGGAGGAAGGUGGGGACGACGGUCAAGUCAGCAUGGCCCUUACGUCCUGGGCUACACACAUGCUACAAUGGCUAGUACAAUGGGUUGCCAAAUCGCGAGAUGGAGCCAAUCCCAUCAAAGCUAGUCUAAGUUCGGAUUGCAGG